GGAUGGCUCAGGCAACCUGCGGCUUUUCAUAAGCACGGUAUCGGAGCAGAUCAUCAAAUGACUCAUGUUUCUAGGGCUGCAGUUGUCAUGGCGCUUGGUGCUAUUGUGCCAGGUGACACCGACAGAGCAGUGUCAGUUUCUCCAGAAGGCCUCCAGAAUGAUGGGAUUGAGGAGUGGGCCAUCAAACCACUUCUGCUCAAUGUCCUUCCUGGCCCAGAGUGCACCCAGCGAGAUAUGGGCCUCAGUGGCUCUGGAGCCCCGGGAAUGAAUCUGCUCAAACACCGGAGGGGAAGAUCGGGUUUACUUAGUAGCCUGCUUUGAGCCGGACAGGAUUUCUCAGGUUCCGGCCGGAGAGUGAACAGCUAGGAGCCCCGUGAGUCUGAGAGCACACCGAGCAAAGGGCGAAAGAGAGAGGGACCAACAGGCCUUGAGCAGCAGGCACU